rnacentral:rRNA from 1 species
GAAAGUGGACGUAUAGGGUGUGAUGCCUGCCCGGUGCUGGAAGGUUAAUUGAUGGGGUUAGCGUAAGCGAAGCUCUUGAUCGAAGCCCCAGUAAACGGCGGCCGUAACUAUAACGGUCCUAAGGUAGAAAGUGGACGUAUAGGGUGUGAUGCCUGCCCGGUGCUGGAAGGUUAAUUGAUGGGGUUAGCGUAAGCGAAGCUCUUGAUCGAAGCCCCAGUAAACGGC